rnacentral:misc_RNA from 1 species
GAUGAAGAACUCAGCGAAAUGCGAUAAGUAAUGUGAAUUGCAGAAUUCAGUGAAUCAUCGAAUCUCUGAACGCACAUUGCGCCCGCUAGUAUUCUGGCGGGCAUGCCUGUCCGAGCGUCAUUUCAACCCUCAAGCCCCCGGGCUUGGUGUUGGGGAUCGGCGAGCCUCCGCGCCCGCCGUCCCCUAAAUCUAGUGGCGGUCUCGCUGUAGCUUCCUCUGCGUAGUAGCACACCUCGCACUGGGAAACAGCGCGGCCACGCCGUUAAACCCCCAACUUCUGAACGUUUGACCUCGGAUCAGGUAGGAAUACCCGCUGAACUUAAGCAUAUCAAUAAGCGGAGGA